rnacentral:rRNA from 1 species
UACAGAGGUCUCAAGCGUUGUUCGGAUUCAUUGGGCGUAAAGGGUGCGUAGGCGGCGGGGCAAGUCUGAUGUGAAAUCCCGGGGCUCAACCCCGGAACUGCAUUGGAUACUGCUCUGCUUGAGCACUGGAGAGGAGACUGGAAUUUACGGUGUAGCAGUGAAAUGCGUAGAUAUCAGGAGGAACACCGGUGGCGAAGGCGGGUCUCUGGGCCGUAACUGACGCUGAGGAGCGAAAGCGUGGGGAGCGAACAGG